UCUUUCGGGGUUACAGCCUUGCUGAAUUAUUCACCCUUGUCUUUUGCGUACUUCUUGUUUCCUUGGUGGGUUCGCCCACCACUAGGACAAACAUAAACCUUUUGUAAUUGCAAUCAGCGUCAGUAACAAAUUAAUAAUUACAACUUUCAACAACGGAUCUCUUGGUUCUGGCAUCGAUGAAGAACGCAGCGAAAUGCGAUAAGUAGUGUGAAUUGCAGAAUUCAGUGAAUCAUCGAAUCUUUGAACGCACAUUGCGCCCUUUGGUAUUCCAAAGGGCAUGCCUGUUCGAGCGUCAUUUGUACCCUCAAGCUUUGCUUGGUGUUGGGCGUCUUGUCUCUAGCUUUGCUGGAGACUCGCCUUAAAGUAAUUGGCAGCCGGCCUACUGGUUUCGGAGCGCAGCACAAGUCGCACUCUCUAUCAGCAAAGGUCUAGCAUCCAUUAAGCCUUUUUUCAACUUUUGACCUCGGAUCAGGUAGGGAUACCCGCUGAACUUAAGCAUAUCAAUAAGCGGAGGAAG
rnacentral:rRNA from 1 species